GCAACAACAGCGCCAUCACGUGGCGCCCAGUGACGUCAGAGUCGUGCGACUGUUCAAGCGCGCCACCUUUUGUCGCAGAGAAAGCAAGUACGUUUUUCUUUACAUGUAUUAGAGAAUUCACCCUAAAACACACAAAGUCCGGUCAGCCUGCUUCCCUGUGCUGUUGUUCCGCAGCAGCACAACCGCGCUGGUUUACAAAGCGAACGCUUGUUGGAGCUGCAGCAUCAGUCCGACGUCAUCGACCACGUCGAUUACGAGAAAUCGUCGACGCGGAUUUCGAUGGUCGACGCGUUGUGUGUACAAUAGAAGUCAGAGCUGCUGGUGUUUUUCAUGCGGCGUUGGCCUCCAUCGUCUGCGUCACCGCGGAAAAGAAGAAGUUCGUCAAGUUGAACGAAGAAGAAAAAAAAGCGAGACGGAAUUUCAAACGUCUGACAGCAUUUCAUCCGCAAACAAGACUAAACGGUGGAACGCAGAGCCGUCAUUCCACCGCAGAACUGCGGGGACAUUUCAAACGCGAGCUGCUGGAGACACCGCGUCUUCUCCUCGUGGUACUAAGCGAAGGCGCGUGCACGAGUUUAUCCUGCAGAGAGACUCGUGCACGCGCAGAUGGAGUGUGGACAGAGAACAUCCUCAACGUGCUCGUCACUUGAAUAGGAUUAAUUAAUAGGAUUACUUUAAAAACUUUAUUUGCACUUUCUCUUUACCUAUAGACGCAUAAGAGCAUCACGAGGCCCUCAAGAGGAAGCAGCUGACUCCGGUGACAUGGGGGGUAAAAAGGGAGCAGGAUGGGAACGUGUGACAUGUUAUUGGAUGGAAAUAAACGGCCUCACGUUGUAGUCAAAAGGAAAA